UUGGGUCCCCAGGGACUUAGAGUCUUCGUGACGGUGACCAGACCUUGCAGAACCGCUCCGAGGCCCUGAGGUGGCCUGUCAUCAGCCUGGACUUGUCUUCCUCUCUGUGGGGAUG